GACGAACGCUGGCGGCGUGCCUAAUACAUGCAAGUCGAGCGGACCGAAGGGAGCUUGCUCUUUUAGGUUAGCGGCGGACGGGUGAGUAACACGUGGGCAACCUGCCCUGCAGACUGGGAUAACUUCGGGAAACCGGAGCUAAUACCGGAUAACAACACUAGACGCAUGUCUAGAGUUUGAAAGAUGGUUCUGCUAUCACUCUUGGAUGGACCUGCGGUGCACUAGCUAGUUGGUAAGGUAACGGCUUACCAAGGCAAUGAUGCAUAGCCGAGUUGAGAGACUGAUCGGCCACAUUGGGACUGAGACACGGCCCAA
rnacentral:rRNA from 1 species